GUUGGAGACCAGCCUGGCCAAUAUGGUGAAACCCCAUCUCUGCCAAAAGUACAAAAAUUAGCCGUAUGUGGUGGCACAUGCCUGUAAUCUUAGCUACUUGAGAGGAUGAGGCAGGAGAAUCGCUUGAACCUGGGAGGCGGAGGCUGCAGUGAGCCGAGAUUGCACCACUGCACUCCAGCCUGGGCAACAGAGCAAGACUCCUAUCAAAAAAAAAAAAAAAAAAAAAAAAGAUGACUUUGACUUUGAGCAGAACUGGAUUUGACAAGAAUCACACUCUGCUUUUACCACAGAGCAACAGGUAGUUGAUUUGAGACAACGGCUGGAAUGGGAACUGUUGAUGAUACCCAGCCAUGGGCCAUCUUCUCCCACACUUGCCCGGCUGCCUUGGCUUCCUGGGCACUCUGUGAGCACCUAGGCCGCUGCACCGCUCCUUCCCUGCAUUACCUCCUCAGAGUCACAGGACAGGCCUGAGAGGCAGGGAUUAUUCACAUCUCCAUUUAUAGAUGGCCAAACUGAGCCACCGAGAGUCGCCGGCUGGACAAGGUUGAGUUGGGAUUAAACUCAGUCAACCCCAAAGCUGAGCUCUGCCCCAUCUGGUCGGCUUAACGUCCUCAGAAUAUGCCUGUAUGUGUGCAGGUAGGAGGGGAGGCAUGGUCACUUGUGGGGAAGGUCCUGGCGGAGGCUGGGAGGAAAGUGCGCUUUAUAGGAGAGGACUGACUUUGGGAACAGGGUGAUGUGGCCCUGCAUCUGGGGCUAGAGGACCCCUUUGGGUGCCCCCCACACAGGAGGCAUUCAGUCUCUAUCUGUGAGGGGAUGGCCCCAGUGUCUCCCCAAGUAAGGAUCUUGUACUGCAAGCCGACCUGGGGAUGGCUUUCAGUGGCACGAGAACAG
rnacentral:lncRNA from 10 species